GGCAUAACUGGCACACAUACGGAGCACCUUGUUGCUCAUCCACCACGUCCAUUGGGAAGGUCCGAGAGUCCCGUCUGCCCGCCGCGUCCCGCUGCCGCCUGUUCCUUCGGAACCCGUCCCGGUACGUUUCCCUCGCCCGUCGCCUCUGGCCGUCCACACUAUGCGCCCACGACCUCGAUCUGUGCUGCUGCCACCUUCACGCCGCCAAAGCGUGGCGCACCUCUCGCGGAGGCCUCCAACUGUUCCUGGCUCCGGAGCAGGGGGAUAAUAACUGGGUCGUUGCGUGCAGGGUGGUGGUGGCACGUCGUGCGUUGCGCGUGGACGCGUCUGGGGGCGCGGUGCAAUGAGGGCGUAUUCGGGACGGAGUGCGGUGCGGGUUUCUUUUUGGCGGCACAAGAAACCAACCGUUGAGGACCGGUCCGUUUCCGAGAUCGCGAGACGUUGAAAGCGCCGCCGAGGGAUCAUUCUAUUCAGUGCAAUAUGCCGCAGCAGUGUUCUUGCGCUCUGCCCACUCAAUUCGGACUAUUGCC
rnacentral:RNase_P_RNA from 2 species